UUAAACUGAAGAGUUUGAUCAUGGCUCAGAUUGAACGCUGGCGGUAUGCUUAACACAUGCAAGUCGAACGGCAG
rnacentral:rRNA from 1 species